GACGAACGCUGGCGGCGUGCUUAACACAUGCAAGUCGAACGGAAAGGCCCUGCUUUUGUGGGGUGCUCGAGUGGCGAACGGGUGAGUAACACGUGAGUAACCUGCCCUUGACUUUGGGAUAACUUCAGGAAACUGGGGCUAAUACCGGAUAGGAGCUCCUGCUGCAUGGUGGGGGUUGGAAAGUUUCGGCGGUUGGGGAUGGACUCGCGGCUUAUCAGCUUGUUGGUGGGGUAGUGGCUUACCAAGGCUUUGACGGGUAGCCGGCCUGAGAGGGUGACCGGCCACAUGGGGACUGCGAUACGGACCAGUCGGCUACUGGAGGCAGCAGUGGGGAAUAUUACACAAUGGGCGGGAGCCUGAUGCAGCGACGCCGCGUGCGGAAUGACGUCCUUCUGGGUGUAAACCGCUGUCGCCUUUGACGAAGCGUGAUUGACGGUAAUGGGUAAAGAAGCACCGGCUAACUACGUG
rnacentral:rRNA from 1 species